AUGCUCACUUCGGCAGCACAUAUACUAAAAUUGCAAAGAUACAGAGAAGAUUAGCAAGUCCCCUGCACAAGGAUGCCACGAAAAAUAACUGCUUCCUCUACCAUGGUU